rnacentral:scRNA from 1 species
UGUGGGUUAUUGCCAUGCUACUUAACAUUGUCUCCCCAACAACCAAGCUUGACUGUCUU